rnacentral:rRNA from 1 species
AGUGAACGCUGGCGGUAGGCCUAACGCAUGCAAGUCGAACGGCAGCACAGUAAGAGCUUGCUCUUACGGGUGGCGAGUGGCGGACGGGUGAGGAAUACAUCGGAAUCUACUUUUUCGUGGGGGAUAACGUAGGGAAACUUACGCUAAUACCGCAUACGACCUACGGGUGAAAGCAGGGGAUCUUCAGACCUUGCGUGCUUGAAUGAGCCGAUGUCGGAUUAGCUAGUUGGCGGGGUAAAGGCCCACCAAGGCGACGAUCCGUAGCUGGUCUGAGAGGAUGAUCAGCCACACUGGAACUGAGACACGGUCCAGACUCCUACGGGAGGCAGCAGUGGGGAAUAUUGGACAAUGGGCGCAAGCCUGAUCCAGCCAUACCGCGUGGGUGAAGAAGGCCUUCGGGUUGUAAAGCCCUUUUGUUGGGAAAGAAAAGCAGUAGGUUAAUACCCCGCUGUUCUGACGGUACCCAAAGAAUAAGCACCGGCUAACUUCGUG